UGGGGAAUAUUGCACAAUGGGCGCAAGCCUGAUGCAGCAACGCCGCGUGAGGGACGACGGCCUUCGGGUUGUAAACCUCUUUUAGUAGGGAAGAAGCGAAAGUGACGGUACCUGCAGAAAAAGCACCGGCUAACUACGUGCCAGCAGCCGCGGUAAUACGUAGGGUGCGAGCGUUGUCCGGAAUUAUUGGGCGUAAAGAGCUCGUAGGCGGUCUGUCGCGUCUGCUGUGAAAACCCGAGGCUCAACCUCGGGCCUGCAGUGGGUACGGGCAGACUAGAGUGCGGUAGGGGAGAAUGGAAUUCCUGGUGUAGCGGUGGAAUGCGCAGAUAUCAGGAGGAACACCGAUGGCGAAGGCAGUUCUCUGGGCCGUAACUGACGCUGAGGAGCGAAAGCGUGGGGAGCGAACAGGAUUAGAUACCCUGGUAGUCCACGCCGUAAACGUUGGGCGCUAGAUGUGGGGCACCAUUCCACGGUUUCCGUGUCGCAGCUAA
rnacentral:rRNA from 1 species